AUUGAACGCUGGCGGCAUGCCUUACACAUGCAAGUCGAACGGCAGCACGGGUGCUUGCACCUGGUGGCGAGUGGCGAACGGGUGAGUAAUACAUCGGAACAUGUCCUGUAGUGGGGGAUAGCCCGGCGAACGCCGGAUUAAUACCGCAUACGAUCUACGGAUGAAAGCGGGGGACCUUCGGGCCUCGCGCUAUAGGGUUGGCCGAUGGCUGAGUAGCUAGUUGGUGGGGUAAAGGCCUACCAAGGCGACGAUCAGUAGCUGGUCUGAGAGGACGACCAGCCACACUGGGACUGAGACACGGCCCAGACUCCUACGGGAGGCAGCAGUGGGGAAUUUUGGACAAUGGGCGAAAGCCUGAUCCAGCAAUGCCGCGUGUGUGAAGAAGGCCUUCGGGUUGUAAAGCACUUUUGUCCGGAAAGAAAUCCUUGGCUCUAAUACAGUCGGGGGAUGACGGUACCGGAAGAAUAAGCACCGGCUAACUACGUGCCAGCAGCCGCUGUAA
rnacentral:rRNA from 1 species